GGGUACCUGCCCUAUGCUGGAUAAUAACCUCGGGAAACUGAGAAUAAUGAUCCAUAGUUCACUACGCCUGGAACGGUGAGUGGAUGAAAGCUCCGGCGGCAUAGGAUGGGCCUGCGGCGUAUCAGGUUGUAGGGGGUGUAACGUACCCUCUAGCCCUCUACGCGUACGGGUGUUGGGAGACAUAGCCCGGAGAUGGAUUCUGAGACACGAAUCCAGACCCUACGGGGUGCAGCAGGCGCGAAAACUUGGCAAUGCGAGAAAUCGUGACCAGGGAACUCCAAGUGCAUCGGGUAAGACCGGUGCUUUUCUUGACUCUAAAUGGGUCUUGGAAUAAGGGGUGGGUAAGGACGGUGCCAGCCGCCGCGGUAAUACCGGCGCCUCAAGUGGUAGUCGCUUUUAUUGGGCCUAAAACGUCCGUAGCCGGUCUGAUACAUUCGUGGGUAAAUCAACCAGCUCAACUGGUUGAAUUCUGCGAGGACGGUCAGACUUGGGACCGGGAGAGGUGUGGGGUACGCUCAGGGUAGGGGUAAAAUCCUGUCAUCCUGAGCGGACCACCUGUUGCGAAGGCGCCACACUAGAACGGAUCCGACGGUCAGGGACGAAGCCUAGGGGCACGAACCGGAUUAGAUACCCGGGUAGUCCUAGGUGUAAACGCUGUGGACUUGAUGUUGGGGGUGCUCCGAGCACUCUCAGUGUCGAAGCGAAGGUGAUAAGUCCACUGCCUGGGAAGUACGGUCGCAAGGCUGAAACUU
rnacentral:rRNA from 1 species